GAUUCAGCGGCGGACGGGUGAGUAAUGCCUAGGAAUCUGCCUAUUAGUGGGGGACAACGUUUCGAAAGGAACGCUAAUACCGCAUACGUCCUACGGGAGAAAGCAGGGGACCUUCGGGCCUUGCGCUAAUAGAUGAGCCUAGGUCGGAUUAGCUAGUUGGUGAGGUAAUGGCUCACCAAGGCGACGAUCCGUAACUGGUCUGAGAGGAUGAUCAGUCACACUGGAACUGAGACACGGUCCAGACUCCUACGGGAGGCAGCAGUGGGGAAUAUUGGACAAUGGGCGAAAGCCUGAUCCAGCCAUGCCGCGUGUGUGAAGAAGGUCUUCGGAUUGUAAAGCACUUUAAGUUGGGAGGAAGGGCAGUAAGUUAAUACCUUGCUGUUUUGACGUUACCGACAGAAUAAGCACCGGCUAACUCUGUGCCAGCAGCCGCGGUAAUACAGAGGGUGCAAGCGUUAAUCGGAAUUACUGGGCGUAAAGCGCGCGUAGGUGGUUUGUUAAGUUGGAUGUGAAAGCCCCGGGCUCAACCUGGGAACUGCAUCCAAAACUGGCAAGCUAGAGUACGGUAGAGGGUGGUGGAAUUUCCUGUGUAGCGGUGAAAUGCGUAGAUAUAGGAAGGAACACCAGUGGCGAAGGCGACCACCUGGACUGAUACUGACACUGAGGUGCGAAAGCGUGGGGAGCAAACAGGAUUAGAUACCCUGGUAGUCCACGCCGUAAACGAUGUCAACUAGCCGUUGGAAUCCUUGAGAUUUUAGUGGCGCAGCUAACGCAUUAAGUUGACCGCCUGGGGAGUACGGCCGCAAGGUUAAAACUCAAAU
rnacentral:rRNA from 1 species